GUUCAGCCUUUGGACCCGAUUCAAACCGGUGAAUAUGACGGACGAGGACGUAAUGGCAAAAAAGAGAAAAUAUCACGGUGAGGCAGAACGAUGUGACGCAGUAGCACAAGUGAAAUCACAAGCAUCCUGAAAACGUCUUCUGAAGAAGACCAUGCUUGUAAAAAAGGAAACCUGAAGAACCAGCAAAGGGAAAAAAGCAGGACCAAAGACAUCUUGCUAACCAGCACCCUCUGGCUUCAACACAUGGACACUGAGACUUCCUGCUUUUGUGAACAUACACAGACGCUGACAUCACUUAAAACAUGAACAUCACACGGAUGAAUAGUGAUUUGUUAGAUGAUGAAUGACUCCCACAAAUCUAUGUCGAGCUAUUGCAGAAUUGAAGAACUCUUUUUUUUUAAAUGUCUGAACAUGAAUACGGUCUCCAGCUGUAUGUCCUUUGUUUUAUGUCAGACUAAAAUUGUUGAAAUAUUUUAUAUCUGCAUUAUUUCUUUUUUGUUUGAAACCUGUGUCCUUGUUUCAUAUCAUCCUAUUUUUUGUAUUUUCAAAUCUGAGGUCCUAAUCAGUAAAGCCAUUUAAAUAACUUAGCUAACCUGCUUUAUGAAACAAGAGGCCCCAAUUGUUUUUGUGACAAUGAUGUUCAGUAGAAACAUGCUUUGUGUAUGCUGUAUGUGUGAGUGUGGGGGGGGGGGGGGUAAAAGUACUUUCACCAUUAAGUGCUUGCAUGACAAAUAUGUGUAAUGUGAAAGACUAGUGUGACCUCGGCCUUGUUUGGUGUGAAUGCUCGUCAUUGUGUUCUCUGGAGAUGAACGACCCUCGUGGACUUUGUCACAAAGAUUAAAAAGGCUCAUGAAUGUUAAUGAGUGAUCAUGUCACACACUAUGUAAUGAGGACAACAACAAAAUAAAAACUUGAAAUGUGUGUGUAAUUA